rnacentral:rRNA from 1 species
UGGGGAAUCUUGGACAAUGGGCGCAAGCCUGAUCCAGCCAUGCCGCGUGAGUGAUGAAGGCCUUAGGGUUGUAAAGCUCUUUUUGCCGGGGACGAUAAUGACGGUACCCGGAGAAUAAGUCCCGGCUAACUUCGUGCCAGCAGCCGCGGUAAUACGAAGGGGACUAGCGUUGUUCGGAAUCACUGGGCGUAAAGCGCACGUAGGCGGAUUUGUAAGUCAGGGGUGAAAUCCCGGGGCUCAACCUCGGAACUGCCUUUGAUACUGCGGAUCUCGAGUCCGAUAGAGGUGAGUGGAAUUCCUAGUGUAGAGGUGAAAUUCGUAGAUAUUAGGAAGAACACCGGUGGCGAAGGCGGCUCACUGGAUCGGUACUGACGCUGAGGUGCGAAAGCGUGGGGAGCAAACAGGAUUAGAUACCCCGGUAGUCCCUGAGCGGGCUGGCAAGGCGCAU